AUGGGUAGGCUACGGAAAGACUCUUACCAGGACGGUCCAUUGGCAUCAUCUAUUGAGAGUGCAGUUUCUUUAAAUGAUCCAUUUGUGCCUAAUGACUUCGUGGACGAUGGUUCUAAUGCUAUGUCAUUGGAACUUUCUAGUGAUGAUGGAGGCUUUGACAAAGCUCUAUUCAAGUUCUAUAUGAAUCAUAAAGUGAAAUCAUUGAAGAGGAAAUUAUUGUGUGCUGGAAGAAGGAAUGCUGUCAGUUCCCCUUGUUAUACUAAGCUCUCGCAUGGCUUUAGUUUGUCCUUCUCUUUAAUGUUGCAUUGCAGUUUUCCAGUGCUGUAG
rnacentral:rRNA from 1 species